rnacentral:rRNA from 1 species
GAUGAACGCUGGCGGCGUGCCUAAUACAUGCAAGUCGAGCGAACAGACGAGGAGCUUGCUCCUUUGACGUUAUCGGCGGACGGGUGAGUAACACGUGGGUAACCUACCUAUACGACUGGGAUAACUUCGGGAAACCGGAGCUACUACCGGAAAAUAUUUCGCACCGCAUGGUUCGAUAGUUAAAGAUGGCUCUGCUAUCACUAAUAGCUUAACCUGCGCCGUAUUAGCUAGUUGGUUAGGUAACGGCUUACCAAGGCAACGAUGCUUAGCCGACCGCAGAGGGUGAUCGGCCACACGGGAACUGAGACAGGGUCCAGACUCCUAGGGGAGGCAGCAGUAGGGAAUCUUACGGAAUGGACGAGUGCCUGACGGAGGAACGCCGCGGGAGUGAUGAAGGUCUUCGGAUCGGAAAACUCUGUUAUUAGGGAAGAACAAACGUGUAAGUAACUGUGCACGUCUUGACAGUACCUAAUCAGAAAGCCACGGCUAACUACGUG